rnacentral:rRNA from 1 species
UCGAGGGGUAACGGAAGUAGCUUGCUACUAGACGACGACCGGCGCACGGGUGAGUAACGCGUAUGUAAUCUGCCUUGUACAGAGGGAUAGCCCAGAGAAAUUUGGAUUAAUACCUCAUAGUAUUACUGAAUCGCAUGAUUUGGUAAUUAAAGCUCCGGCGGUACAAGAUGAACAUGCGUGACAUUAGCUAGUUGGUAAGGUAACGGCUUACCAAGGCCACGAUGUCUAGGGGUUCUGAGAGGAUGAUCCCCCACGCUGGUACUGAGACACGGACCAGACUCCUACGGGAGGCAGCAGUGAGGAAUAUUGGUCAAUGGACGCAAGUCUGAACCAGCCAUCCCGCGUGAAGGAUGACUGCCCUAUGGGUUGUAAACUUCUUUUAUAUGCAAAUAAACCUACUUUCGUGAAAGUAGCUGAAGGUAGCAUAUGAAUAAACACCGGCUAACUCCGUGCCAGCAGCCGCGGUAAUACGGAGGGUGUAAGCGUUAUCCGGAUUUAUUGGGUUUAAAGGGUAC